UGAUGGUCAACCAGGAAGCAGAAGAAAACAUGAACAAAAGCUUUUACUGUGGUUUCCAUGGGAAGGAACUGCCAAGGUUUGCAAAUGGUUUGGGUGUCCCCCCAAGGAUCCAUGUGGUGGAGGCUUUGCCCCCAGGAAGCCCCUGGCACUGCUACCCAGUAGGUGGUGACUCAGACAAGGGAAACUCUCACCAAGCCUAUGCUAUGCUGUCUGGACCCUCAGCUUCCAAAGCUGGAGCUGAAUCAACUUUUCUUUACGGAGGCAGCCUGUGUCAAGUAUUUGACUAACAUGGAACAGAAGAGGCAAGCUCACGCAUUGCUAGACAAUGCUCUACCGCCGAGGUACAUCUCUAGUCCACCUAUGAAGACACCUGAUUAGAGUCAAGUCAGCUUGGAGUUACCCUAACAGUCAACUCAACGACAAAGCCUCAAACAGAGAGCAAGUGUGGAAAUAUGACAUACAAAGACCAAGUUUGGAAAUACGGCCCAAAUCUUGUAUAAGAAAUGUUUUCAAAACCUUUAGAAAGAAUGGUAACAAUGUAAGAAUAACAGAAAUGAUAACAAGGCUUAAAGGGCCAGAGAGUUCAAGGGUUUUGCUAGUCAUGCCAAUAAAUCAGCAGUGCUUAAAGACAAAAAUACAAUCUUCAGCUGCAUCCCAGAAAGGUCAACCAAUGUCUUGAUAGGAUUUCUACAGGGCAUGUCCUUCAAGGGGAGACUUGUUAAUUCUCGGGGAUGUUGUUGAGAAGAGUUAAAAUAGACUUUAUCAAGUGGAGAGUAAAAACUCUGUAAUAAAGAACAGGUAACUAAUAGCUACCAAUAUUUAAUCUGGAGAGGGAAAUAUUUGGAGGGUAUACAAUAGCUAUCUUCAAAUACUCAAAGAGGUAAUUACCUUGAAGAGAUAUUUGCUUUUUAUGGUUCACAGGAUAUAAAAAGACCCAAACUAUCCGCAAGUUAGGAAGAAGUGGGGUUUUGUUUGCUUCUAUAAAGGAAGAAUUUCUGACAUUCAAGCUAUCUGCAAAUGUAACACGUUGCUUGUAAGAUUAUGAGUUUCCUGCAUGUGAAGCUUUCCAAAUAGAAACUCAUUGGUCCUUGAAUACACGAUACAGUCUUUUCUGUAAAAAGGCUUUGCAAGCCAUACUGCUUGCGUCCUAAAUACUCAACUCCCCCACUGUAACGUCAAAGGAGCCAGGGGCAACACUUAGCAACUGAGUGUGGCUGCAUCUCAAUACAAUUUCAUGGAGGAGAGGGGUGGCAUGGUUGCCUGGAAUUGGUAGCACAGGGUAUAGUUUGUCAAUUUCUGGAUUGCACUUGAAAUCAUUCGAAUCUGAUUUUAAUAGUCACCUGGUAAAGAAGGCUAUCAAGAGAUAUUCCAUAUACACACAUAAACAUUCAAUAAUAUUUAUUUCCCCCAAAUUAACAUAUUCAAAGAGACAAACACAAAAACCUUUUUACUUUUUUUUUCCCCCCCUAAAAGAACAGCUUCAGUUGGAGGCUGGAAGGGGUAAUUGUACCUCUAAUAGCUGGCUCCACCAGGCACAGAAAUUAGGCACAUAGGUUCAAGCAGAGUUGAUCCAAUGCGGAUUCAAAGCAAACCCCCAGCAUGAUGCAUGACCUCCAGGAGGACAAAGAACAGUGCAAAACAAUAACAAUGUAAACGUAAGACAAAAGUGAAAGGGUUAACAGCUGAGUCAGAGAGUUCUCUGAGGAUGCCAGGAGAGGAAGGCUUCACUCUAUCCAUUUUGAUAGUUUAGCACGAUCUACCGUCAUGUAGCUGAUUCAAAAAAGUGAUGGGUUCAUCUUCCUGUCCCUCAGGAGGGAGCACCCUACUGAGCUCACACCCAAACCUUGUCACUGACCUAUGUGUCUCUCGGAAAAGUUGACCUCGACACGAUGGCAGGGUGGUGGAUUUUCAUCCCAUAAACUGACUACAACGUGCAGAACAUUAACUUUAACCAACUAGGAUAGAGGACAGCAAUGUCGGAACCACACGCCUACAAGGCGCCCACUGAGGGCUGUGUGGGUGCGCCCAGAUCUCACAGCCAGCCAGUGUGCAGCACCGUCCACUGGAAAACAAGACCAACAAACACUGAGUUUAAGUAUUCCUUAAAACCCAAACUCUUCUCCGAGGUUGAAUCCAGAAACUGUCUGCACAGGAUUUAUAAUCUGGUGUCUACUCAGUGGCUUUAUAAAAACAUGGAAAGAAAAGAUGGCAGUUAAAGGGCCUGCUAAUUCACUGCCAGUUCACCACUGUGGUUCACGUUUCUUGCCUGGCAGGUCAGGCAAUACUCCCAAUGCCCAGAGCCCUGGCACCAGGCAAGCCUUUCAGCCAGCAGCACUCAGGAGGCAGCGGAGCUCACGCUGCCUACAUGGCUCCACUCCCAGACUCAGCCCAGGAAAAGCAAGCCUCUCCAGGCUCCGAAGCCCCUGAGCUAAUGGAGUCCAGUCUUGGCUACCCUGGGAAAGGUGAAUCCAAGCUUCCAACAAACACGAGGUCCUCAAGCCACCCCCUACCCUCAAGUACUGCUGGCCCGUCUGGCAAGUCCCUGUGCCAUUUCUGAGACUGCCUCUCUCCCCAGUGAAUUCAGAGGAUAGACAUGAGAAGAGUACCCCUAAAAACUGCCACAGGGUCUCAGACAAAGCCCUAGAACGUGUGCUCUCUUCUGAGUGUUCUUUUCCGGAUCAGAACAUCACAGCCACCUGGCUCCUGAGGCACUGAAGCCAUCAGGACAAGGGAGUGUCUUCGGCAGCCUCUUGUUUGAGCUGUUAAGAAGAAUCUUCCCACAUGUGCCUGCCCUGGAGUUUCUGUGUAAGUCUAUGACAGAAGUGCAUCAAGGGUGAGGACCACGUCCUGCUGAUCUUUACAACCCAGCACCAAAAACCAUGAUUCAUAGUGUCUUCGCAAUGGAUGUAUGUUAGAUUUAUCUGCAGUUUCUGUUCCCAUGUUGGUGACACAGAGCUAUAGUCUGGAUCCUGAAUGUCCCCAACGGCCUGUGUGUUAAAGGCCUGGUCCCCAGCUUGUCACCAUUGGGAGAUGAUGAAACUUUAAGAUGGGGGCCUCCUAGGAGGUCUUCUAGUCCUCAGAGGCUCUUAACAUGCGACCUUGGCUCUUCUUUUCUACCCUCAGCAUCCUGGCCACGGGGCAAGUGGUUCUGCUCCACCACACACUACCACCUCGAUGUACUGCCCUGCCACAGGCCCAAGAGCAACAGGGCCAACAGCUCAUGAACUGAACUCUGAAAUUGUGAGCCAAAUAAACCAUCUUUCUCUAUAAGCUGAUCAUCUCGGGUACAUUUUUAAUGAUAAUGAAAGCUGUAUGCACAGUAACCCCAAAUAGUUGAAUAAUUAUCCUUAAACCUGCACUUCUUUCAAUGCAAAGCUGGGGUAUAGCCAAUAAUUAUUCAUGAUAUAUCCCACAGCUGGAAAUAUUUUUUUGAGGGAGAUGAAAAUACUGGAAAUACAGGAAAACAGAAAUCUUUCAAUUUUGGGUUUUAUAUUAAUAAAUGUUGAUAUUUAAUUUGGUGGUUAAUGGAUAUUAAUAUUAAUAAAAAUUAUUUUUAAUAUUAAUAUGACUUAAUCAUUAAAUAUCACUAUUCUAAACUCCUCACAGGGAGAAUGCCAAUAUCAUUCUUUACCAUGCCAAGCUGACCUAAAUACCUGUCUUGGAAAAAAAACCACAUGCAUACAUAUAAAUAUAUACAAGCAUAUGCAUGCUUGUCAUUGCUAUCACAACAUCAUUACUGCAAAGAAUUGAUAUCUCAAAUUUCAAAAUUUCUAAUGAUCACCGAGACUGUUCUUAGAGAAUUUUCCAAUUACAAGGCAAUGUUUAUAAUGAUGGCUUGUGGAUCAAAAUAUUCAGCAUAGUCUCACAAAUAUGACUUUAUUAUUGCCACACUGGUCCUGUUAUUCUCUCUGGACUCACACUGUGUAAACUAUAAAAAAUAAAGUCCUACUACAGAAAGGGAGACAACAAAGAAACGGGACAUUUGCAUUAAUGACAGUGAAGACACUGGCAAAGCAACAACACAUCCAAGCAUCAGAAUGGUGGUGGUACCACGCUGCACACGGUGCCACCGUCCUGCCCUUGCUGCAAACUCCUGUGGGUCAGUUCACUUAACU